rnacentral:lncRNA from 1 species
AUGUUUUGCCUAACUGCACAAGCCUUGCAUAUGACCACUGGGCCAUGUCUUUUGUGAGCACCCAUAAUUCUUUUGUUCUAUUGAUGUUUUGCCUAACUGCACAAGCCUUGCAUAUGACCACUGGGCCAUGUCUUUUGUGAGCCCCCAUAAUUCUUUUGUUGUAUUGAUGUCGUGGAGUUCAGUAGAUUAGUAAAAGGGUCUUUUGAUUUUGUUGAGUUCAGUAGAUUAGUAAAGGGUCUUUUAAUUUUGUUGGCCAUAUAGGAUUUUACUACUGCUAUGGACAAAAGAAGGCUAAAGCUGGGACAGACAACAAUGUCAGGAGCCAACCGAGGUAAAGAAACCUAAGUUGACAAGCAGGGCGUACUGCCCUCUGCAGUUAUUUUUCUCUGCUAUUCAUAGAUUAGUAAAAGGGUCUUUUGAUUUCGUUGAGUUCAGUAGAUUAGUAAAGGGUCUUUUGAUUUUGUUGGCCAUAUAGAAUUUUACUACUGCUAUGGACAAAAGAAGGCUAAAGCUGGGAAAGACAACAAUGUCAGGAGCCAACCGAGGUAAAGAAACCUAAGUUGACAAGCAGGGCGUACUCCCCUAUGCAGUUAUUUUUCUCUGCUAUUCAUAGAUUAGUAAAAGGGUCUUUUGAUUUCGUUGAGUUCAGUAGAUUAGUAAAGGGUCUUUUGAUUUUGUUGGCCAUAUAGGAUUUUACUACUGCUAUGGACAAAAGAAGGCUCAAGCUAGGAAAGACAACAAUGUCAGGAGCCAACCGAGGUAAAGAAACCUAAGUUGACAAGCAGGGCGUACUCCCCUCUGCAGUUAUUUUUCUCUGCUAUUCAUUGAGCAUAUUAGGAGAUUGAUAGACAGUGUGAGAACUGGUACAUAAAAUAAUUUAAGAACAUUAAUCUGAAUCACAUAGUGGUUCCUAACAUUUAGCAUUUCUAAAAUUUGCCAUUUUUAGAUAGACAGUGUGAGAACGGGUACAUAAAAUAAUUUAAGAACAUUAAUCUGAAUCACAUAGUGGUUCCUAACAUUUAGCAUUUUUUAAAAUUUGCCAUUUUUACCUAGAUCCGAAAUGCCGAGAAGCAGGGUUUAUUUUCUCUCAUCACCAUAACAAAGGUAUGCAAUCCAUUCUUAUAUUUUUUUUACAAUGGCAUUAUGCACAUAACUUGUCUGAUGCAAUGGACAAUCGGAUAUUUGUGGUUGGUAUAAAUCAUUUUAAUGCAUAAAAGAAGAGUUGGUAGGUUUUGACAUGAGCAUGAUGAAUUAUUGAGGCCUUUUGUUUCUUGAACGGUAGUGUGUAGAAAGUUUGUUUUGCUCUUGAAAGGUGUGUGUGAGAGUUUGAGGGAAAAAACUAUUGCUUUACUUAUGUUUCAACUCCAGUGAGGCAUGUUUGAACGGUAGUGAAAAUAUGGUGCUUAUUUUUAUUUUGCUGAUUUGAGGAUAUUGGUAGUAGAAUGUCCUUUUGGGCUGGUCUUGCAGUUCAUUCAGUUUCAAGGGAAAAGAUAUAUGUGUGGUUUCUUUGCUUUACAGAAGAUGCAUUAUAUGAUGUCUUCAUCUUGGUAACCAUUACCAAUUUUACAUUCUUGGUGAAUUCUAAAUCAUGCUAGGCAAUGUCGUCUUUUAAUAAGUUGUCAUAUUGUACGCAUGAGUUCUCUAAAAUUCCUGGGUGGUUUAUUCUAUUAUAAAGCUAGAAAAGAAACAACAAUGGGGAGUUGUUUAAGGACGGACAAAAGCCAUGAGUUGUUUUGCUGAGAAAAGAAACAAGUAAUAUCACAUUCUGAAGGUUCAUUUCCAUCUAUACGGGUGAGGAGUCCUUAAAAUGUGAAGUAUUGUAGGUUUCUAACCAUGUACAUAGGUCGUACACAGCUAAGCACUCGAGCUAUGAUUAUUGUUAUGUAUGGAUUAAUAGUGAUAAUCAUUGUUUGGUUCAGGCAUUGAACAACUAAAACUAACUCAAAAGUAUAUGUUGUUUCAAAAUAAAUGAUGUACCUAAAGAACUUUAUUGAUGAUCAGGCGUGCAUUUUGAAUGCAUUGGAAUCAAAUUCAGAAUGCCUGAGGAUUGAUUUCUUCUGUUGGUCAUGUUGUAAAAAUAGGAAGCAGCUUCUCACGAGCCAACCUUUUUUUUGCAGGGGAGACUCCAGGGAGAGAGAGGAAAGCUGUGCAAGUGCCCCUGGAAGCGAGGCAGCUCGGCGGCGUCGUGGAAGAGGAGCUACGCUUCCAUGGAGUAGAGCGACGAGGGGCUCCGGUGUCGCUGCAGAGGAGGGAGGAGAUCCGCCGCCACUGCACCUGACAAUUCGACAGGAACCUCUCUGGAUGAUUCUGUCGUGAGUCUCCUACUGUUCAUAUUCAGACUGCAACAUUUUUUGAAUUUUACUUUGGCUGAAGUUGUUCUUACUGGUACACCAGAUCAGCCGUAUAAAUUCACUAUAUGUUCUGCUUGACUGUUUUUUUUAUCUUAAUAAAAUUGCAUAUCUGCAGCAUCUUGACUCGCCUUUCUGAAAUUGUAGCUUAUCUCUGCUCAUGGUGCAAUGGAAGCAUACUACAAGAUAGCUUCUCUGCAUUGUUGUUUGAUUAGUAACAAGUAUACAGCAUCCCAUGUCUGAAACAUUGUUUGAUUUAGUAACAAGUAACAAAUCAGAGAGGGCAUGAAACCUGCACAUUUUCUGCUUCGCUGCAAUUUUUGUUUAUGAUGGUCAUGCCAUGAUGACUACUCCCUCUGUUCCCAAAUAUUUGUCUUUCAAAAGAUUUCAACAAAUGACUACAUACGAAGCAAAAUGAGUGAAUCUACACUUUAAAAUUUGUCUAUAUACAUCCAUAUGUUGUAGUCCAUUUAAAUGUCGAGAAAGACAAAUAUUUGGGAACGGAGGGAGUAGUAGUUUCAGUUUAUUGAGUAUUGUGCACAUGAAACCCAAUCCUGUAUAUGUACUGGUGGCAGUAUGCAUUUCAAUUUACAGAGAUUCCAAUGCUUCCUUUUUUUGUAUCCGUGUUUGUCCUCUUGCAUUGUUUAAUAAGCAGAUCGGUCCACCACUAAUUAUACAUGUUGUUUUGAAUUUUGGCAGAAUUCGGGUGUUAUGCAUUUUUGAAAGUGUUGUGCAAUGGCAGAAAUUGGCAAGAGGAUACCUCAAGUUGGUAUGAGGUUCAUAGAUUCGGAUGAGGCUUGGGUGUUUUGGGUAGAAUAUGGUGAGGAAAAGAUGCAAGUUUGAUGGAAAAGCGACUUCACACAGAUUUGUGUGUUCCAAUGAGGGCAUUAGAAGGAAAGCGCAAACUGAUCGUGAGCCAAAGCGCAAUCCCUGUAUAUGUACUUAUUUUAUUUUAGCCUAUCUCUGCUCAUGUGUGCAUCUCGUUCACUCUUUGGAUUAAACUAUAGCCAAGUGUACAACUAUACUUGCCUAAUAUAUCCAGUGUUCAGUGUCAAAAUUGUCCAGUUUGAAAAGGUUCCAUUACUUUACUGGCAUUGUUUCUUCUGUAUUCACUAAUCCUGCAAGUGUAGGCUGAGAACUAUAUACAAUUUGGACAGGUUCCAGUGUUGUGUUGCUGCCGUACAUGCCCAGUGCAGUUUUUGGAUUUCCACUGAGUGAUAGCUUUGUUUUGGUCUUCCAUAUAUCUGUGUUCUUAUUAUCAAGUCUCCACACAUGUCUUGUGCCCCCACAG